UUUAUUUCAUUUCAAAUGUGAAAUAAGGCAGGUUAUCCUUGUCUUAUGAAGGCUGUCUUUUUAUUUUCUGCAAUACUGUGGAAAAAUAAUUACAUACAAUUUGAAAAAACAAUUAUGAAAUAAAACAAAAAUGUAAAUAAAAGCACAUUUUUAUAAUAUCUUUGUUUUUGUAAAAUAAUCAAGUAGAACCGUUAUACAGAGGAGUAUUACUUAAUGUUAAAUCAUAAUUACAAUAAUACAAGGUAUACAGUCCUGUCGGAGAAAUGAAAGAAUAUAAAAUUAUUGUGAACGUAUGAUAUGAAAGAAAUGCACUCACGCCAAACCAAAUGGCACCCUAUUCCCUUUAUAGUGCACAUCUUUUUACCAGUGCCCAAAAUGCUCAAGUCAAAAGUAGUGCACUAUGCAGGGAAUAGGGUGCCAUUUGGGAAACAUUCCAAAUCUCAAUCAUGGACGUUCUUGGAGCUUAAACACACUCAACAGCAGCAUGAAGGAUGAGUGGACUCAGUCUGCUAAUUCUUCAUGUGCUAAGGCCACAUAAUGGCUCCAUGACUGCAUCCCAAAUGGCCCCCCAUGGGUUCUGGUCAAAGGUAGUGCACUAUGUUGGUGAUAGGGUACAAUUUGGGAUGCUGCCCACGCCUCUGUCUCUCAUCUGUCUCUUUCCUACAUUUUCUUCCAACAGUCCAACAACCCAUUUCACACACACACACACACACACACACACACACACACACACACACACACACACACACACACACACACACACACACACACACACAGAUCAAAACAUUAGGGUCAGAGGUCAUACACACACACACACACACACACACACACACACACACACACACAGAUCAAAACAUUAGGGUCAGAGGUCAUACACACACACACACACACACACACACACACACACAGAUCAAAACAUUAGGGUCAGAGGUCAUACACACACACACAAAUGGCUGCAUUUUAUGUCUGCUUUGUUCAUUUUAGUUUUUGCUGCAGUCUUUUGGCACCCAUUAGAUUAGAGAUUCCAAACACAAGACUGAUACCAAACCAUGUACAUCAGUCCGUGCUGGUCGGGAUAGCACAGAACAGUUCUGAGCUCCUUAGUGCUGUCCACUGGGACCAAGGACCAGAGACCAGGGCCUGGGUUCAGCCUGGGUAAGAUCACUAUCUAUCCCUCCUGGUACAUACAUGUAUCACCACUCCCUACGUACCAAACUUAUUCCAUACAUAGGGCACUAAUAUUGACCAGAUUCCUAUGGGCCCUGGUGUAAAAGCAUUGCACUAUAUAGGGAAUAGGUUGCCAUGGUCUUUCUAUGAUAAUAACCCCCUUUAAAUACACACAUACAUCAAAAACAAAGUAAAGGAUACAGUAUGUGUAUAAAAGUUUAAACACUGUAGUAUAACCUCAAUCAUCACUUCGUUGGUGGCAUAAUAAUACAAUUAAUAUAAUAUGCUGAUAAAAUAAACAGAUUUCAUACAGGGAAGGCAUUUAUUUAGAAAAAAAAUAGUGAGGAAGUAAAAAGAUUGUAACGAGUUUAUGAAUGAAGCGGAAUCUUUGAACAGAGGGCCCCCAUCCUCAUCCCUUCUGUCCUACCAACCCCGCCCCAUCAAACACGUGUUUAUUUACAGAAAUGUACUCUAAUCUACUCCUAUGUUUUCAAUUGGAAGGAAAGGUGAGAGCUGGCAGAAAGAUAUAUAGAAGAAAGCCAAGAGGACUCUAGUAGAAACAGAGAUCUAAGAAGGACAUUUCUUUCUCUUCUGAUCUGUGGCUGGCAGCAACAUUAUGUCCCCCAAAUGGCACCCUAUUCCUUAUGUAGAGCAAUACUUUUGAGUAGUACCCAUAAGUAUCUGAGCAAAAGCAGUGCACUAUAUAGGGAAUAGGGCACUGAGAUCCUAUAUGUUAUAUAUGGGUUCUAUAUGUAAUUUUAUAGGGUGUCACUUGGGACACACAGAAGUCACAGUAUUGAAACAUGGCCCCUACAGAUGGACCACGCCACCUCCGUCCUCCAGCAUGAGUACCUUGUCCUCCUGUAUGCAUUCCAAAUGGCACCCUAUCCCCUGUGUAGUUCACUUUUUUUGAUCAGGACCCAUAGGGCUCUGGUUAAAAGUAGGGCACUAUAUAGGGAAUCAGGUGCCAUUUGGCAUAGAACUCAUGGCCCUCCUCUCUCCUCCAUAGUGGGUUCGAUUCCCGGGACCAACCAUACGUAAAAUGUAUGCAAUGCAUAAGUUACUUUGGCUAAAAGUGUCUGCUUAAAUGGCAUAUAUUAUUAUUAUUAUAUUAUUAAGUCAAAUCAACAAUGAUUGUCAACGUCUUAAGUGAAUAAUGAUGGUUGAUGACAUAAUCAGAGUUUACCUACAGCCACAGGUUAGCCUCUGUGUGUAGGCCUACACAUCCACCACUACAGAGCACUGUACCAAAUACCCAAAUGGGGUAAAGCAAAGUAACAACUACUAUAUUAUACGUAGCAACAUCAAAACUGUACCAUAGCCAGUUCCCCCCAAGACCUCGCAAAACUUUAGAGUGAACCAUAUCCUCCUCUCGAUCACCCCAGAGCCCAUCACUACCUCCCAAAUGGCAUCCUAUUUCCGAUAUCUUCUGGUGAGGCUCUGGUCAAAAGUAGUGCACUAUAUAGGGGAUGGGGUGCCUUUUGAGACGCUACCCUAGUCUACAACAACAGGCUGCUACAUCAAAACUCAACAAUGGUUGAACCUGGACACAGAAGCCUCAGGACAUUGAAUUUUAAAAGUGAAUGUCACUCAAAACUCUGAACCUUUGGUCCACAACUCCAUAUAAAAAUACUAAAAAAUGUUUCUAAAUGCCUUUUUUUCUUCUUCUAUUUAGGUAUAAAUAUGGAUAUUCUACUGUGCAAGUGAGAUAAACCAAUACAAUAAUAUUUGAGGAUGGGGGACUGAGGGCAUUUUGUACGAAUUGUAGAGAUUUAUUUAAAUACAAAAGCUCUUUCACCUGCUUCCCAAACACACAACAUUGACCUCAGGUGGGUGAAAUGUGGGGUAGUCGUAGAUCGUAAUGAGAUGAGAUAGAAAAUUACAGAGGAGGAGGAAGGAGCAUUUGAAGAAGCUUGCUACAGCUCCAUCCUUCCCCGAUUAGGUUACCUUAUAUAAGUGGCAUACUGUAUAAAAAACUGUAUUUCAUUAUAUAGUCCAUACAUACAGUGCCUUGCAAAAGUAUUCAUUCCCCUUGGUGUUUAUCCUAUUUUGUUGCAUUACGACCUGUCAUUUAAAUGGAUUUUUAUUUGGAUUUCAUGUAAUGGACAUACACAAAAUAGUGUGCGCCCAGGUGAACGCUGGCCACUGCUUAUUGACCACCAACUGCAGGGCAUCAAGUGGAUCAAGAUUCGUUAUGGCAACAGCCUCAAGGUGGUAAGCCAAAUUGGUGAAGUGAAAUUUAAAAAAUUACUUACUUAAAAAUAUAUAUUUUUUUAAAUUAAAACUGAAAAAUGGUAUGUGCAUACUGUAUGUAUUCACCCCAUUUGCUAUGAAGCCCCUAAAUAAGAUAUGGUUCAACCAAUUACCUUCAGAAGUCACAUAAUUAGUUAAAUAAAGUCCACCUUUGUGCAAUCUAAGUGUCACAUGAUCUGUCACAUGAUCUCAGUGUACCUGUUCUAAAAGGCCCCAGAGUCUGCAACACCACCAAGCAAGGGGACCACCAAGCAAGCGGCACCAUGAAGACCAAGGAGCUCUACAAACAGGUCAGGGACAAAGUUGUGGAGAAGUACAGAUCAGGGAUGGGUUAUAAAAAAAUAUCAGAAACUUUGAACAUCCCACGGAGCACCAUUAAAUACAUUAUUAAAAAUUGAAAGAAUAUGGCACCAAAACAAACCUGCCAAGAGAGGCCCCCAACCAAAACUCACAGACCAGGCAAGGAGGGCGUUAAUCAGAGAGGCAACAAAGAGACCAAAGAUAAACCUGAAGGAUCUGAAAAGUUCCACAGCGGAGAUUGGAGUAUCUGUCCAUAGGACCACUUUAAGCCGUACACUCCACAGAGCUGGGCUUUACGGAAGAGUGGCCAGAAAAAAAGCCACUGCUUAAAGAAAAAAAUAAGCAAACAUGUUUGGUGUUCACCAAAAGGCAUGUGGGAGACUCCCAAAACAUAUGGAAAAAGGUACUCUGGUCAGAUGAGACUAAAAUUGAGCUUUUUGGCCAUCAAGGAAAACACUAUGUCUGGCGCAAACCCAACACCUCUCAUCACUCCAAGAACCCUAUGCUGCCACCACCAUGCUGUGGGGCUGUUUUUCAUUGGCAAGGACUGGGAAACUGGUCAGAAUGAUGGAUGGCGCUAAAUACAGGGAAAUUCUUGAGGGAAACCUGUUUCAGUCCUUCCAGCAGGACAAUGACCAUAAGCAUACUGCUAAAGCAACACUCGAGUGGUUUAAGGGGAAACAUUUAAAUGUCUUGGAAUGGCCUAGUCAAAGCCCAGACCUCAAUCCAAUUGAGAAUCUGUAGUAUGACUUAAAGAUUGCUGUACACCACCAGAACCCAUCCAACUUGAAGGAGCUGGAGCAGUUUCUCCUUGAAGAAUGGGUAAAAAGCCCAGUGGCUAGAUGUGCCAAGCUUAUAGAGACAAACCCCAAGAGACUUGCAGCUGUAAUUGCUGCAAAAGGUGGCUCUACAAGGUAUUGACUUUGGGAGUGAAUAGUUAUGCACGCUCUAGUUGUUUUUUUGUCUUAUUUCUUGUUUGUUUCACAAUAGAAAUAUGUUGCAUGUUGUGCUAAUCAAACGAUACAAUCCCCACAAAAUCCAUUUUAAUGCCAGGUUGUAAGACAACAAAAUAGGAAAAAUGCCAAGGGAGGUGAAUACUUUUGCAAGCCACUGUACCCCUCUUCUGGUAAUGGAGAGUCGCACUCCACCAUGAAGAGUCGAACCCCACCGUACCAUGGAGAGUCGUAUCCCACCGUACCAUGGAGAGUCGUAUCCCACCGUACCAUGGAGGGCCAUACUCCACCGUACCAUAGAGAGUCGUACUCCACCGUACCAUGGAGAGUCGUACCCAGCCGUACCAUGGAGAGUCGUAUCCCACCGUACCAUGGAGAGUCGUACUCCACCGUACCAUGGAGAGUCGUACUCCACCGUACCAUGGAGAGUCGUACCCCACCGUACCAUGGAGAGUCGUACUCCACCGUACCAUGGAGAGUCGUACCAUGGAGAGUCGUACCCCACCGUACCAUGGAGAGUCGUACUCCACCGUACCAUGGAGAGUCAUACUCCACCGUACCAUGGAGAGUCAUACACCACCGUACCAUGGAGAGUCAAACUCUACCGUACCAUGGAGAGUCGUACCCCUCCGUACCAUGGAGAGUCGUACCCCACCGUACCAUGGAGAGUUGUACCCCACCGUACCAUGGAGAGUCAUACCCCACCGUACCAUGGAGAGUCGUACCCAGCCGUACCAUGGAGAGUCGUACUCCACUGUACCAUGGAGAGUCGUACCCCACCGUACCAUGGACACCGUACCAUGGAGAGUCGUACCCCUCCGUACCAUGGAGAGUCGUACCCCACCGUACCAUGGAGAGUCGUACUUCACCGUACCAUGGAGAGUCGUUCUCCAACGUACCUUAUAGGUGUGCAGCACGUUUUCCUUGACCCACCAGUUGUUCUCUUUCUUGUCGGAUGUAAAAUCACCAUAUUGGCGUGAAGGCUAUUAUACCGUGAAUCCUUGGAUGUGUCCCAAAUGGCACCCUAUUCCCUAUAUAGUGCACAUCUUUUGAUCAGAGCCCUAUGGCCUUGGUCAAAACUAGUAAUAAUAAUCCUACAUGGGGAUUAUGUUUCAUUUUCCUUCACUUCUUGGGGGCGCCCUUUGGCCAUGCCAGUUGAGCAGUUUGUGGUGGCAUCGAGAACAAGCAGGUUAAAAAGAGGUCCACUUGCGGGGUACAAGCGGUCGCCUUGUCUGAGCACAGCAGUGACGCAAGACCAUCUUCUUGAACAUGUAAGAGAGUGUGUGUGUUAAUAUCUGUGAGUGUAAAGGAGUGUGUGCAUAUUAUUGAGAGCUGGUAUAGAUAGAUGUAGUUGUAUACAGUAUGUUUAUACAAGGACAUAUUAACAUUAAAAUAAUAUAAUCUUCAUAUCUUUACCCCAAUGAGAUUAUAGUUGAAGUCGGAAGUGUAGAUAGAGUCCUGUGAAAAAGUAUUUGCCCACUUCCCGAUUUCUUAUUUUUUGUCACACUUAAAUGUUUCAGAUCAAACAAAUUUUUAUAUUACACAAAGAGUAAACAUAAAAUGCAGUUUUUAAGUGAUCAUUUUAUUUAUUAACUGAGGCAAGUGAGGCCUGCAGUUCUUUAGAUGUUGUUGUGGGUUCUUUUGUGACCUCUUGGAUGAGUCGUCGCUGCGCUCUUGGGGUAAUUUUGGUAUGCCGGCCACUCCUGGGAAGGUUCACCACUGUUCCAAAUGUUCACUAUUUGUGGAUAAUGGCUCUCAACGUGGUUCGCUGGAGUCCCAAAGCUUUAGAAAUGGCUUUGUAACCCUUUCCACACUGAUAGAUGUCAAUUACUUUGUUCCUCAUCUGUUCCUGAAUUUCUUUGGAUCGCGGCAUGAUGUCUUGCUUUUUGAGAUCUUUUGGCCUACUUCACUUUGUCAGACAGGUUCUAUUUAAGUGAUUUCUUGAGUCAACAGGUCUGGCAGUAAUCAGGCCUGGGUGUGGCUAGUGAAAUUGAACUCAGCUUUCCAAAAAAUGUGAUUAACCACAGUAAAUUCAUGAUUUAACAAGGGGGAAAUUACUUUGUCACAUAGGGCCAUGAAGGUCCGGAUAGCUUUUUCCCUUAAUAAAUAAAAUGAUCACUGCAUUUUGUGUUUACUUGGGUUAUCUUUGUGUAAUAUUAAAAUUUGUUUGACGAUCUGAAACAUUUAAGUGCGACAAAUGUGCAAAAAAAGAAGAAAUCAGGAAUACUUUUUCACAGCACUGUACACUUAGGUUGGAGUCAUUAAAACGUGUUGUUCAAACUAUAGUUUUGGGAAGUUGGUUAGGACAUCUACUUUGUGCAGGGCACAAGUAUUUUUCCAACAAUUGUAUACAGACAGAUUAAUUCACUUAUAAUUCACUGUAUCACAAGUCCAGUGGGUCAGAAGUGUACAUACACUAAGUUGACUGUGCCUUUAAACAGCUUGAAAAAUUCCAGAAAAUGAUGUCAUGGCUUUAGAAGCUUCUGAUAGGCUAAUUGACAUAAUUUGUGGAUGUAUUUCAAAGCCUUCUUUCAAACUCAGUGCCUCUUUGCUUGACAUGGAAAAUCUAAAGAAAUCAACCAAGACCUCAGAAAAAACAUUGUAGACCUCCACAAGUCUGGUUCAUCCUUGGGAGCAAUUUCCAAAUGCCUGAAGAUACCACAUUCAUCUGUAC
ensembl:lncRNA